CACAAGCGGUGGAGUAUGUGGUUAAUUCGAAGCAACGCGAAGAACCUUACCAGGCCUUGACAUGCAGAGAACUUUCCAGAGAUGGAUUGGUGCCUUCGGGAACUCUGACACAGGUGCUGCAUGGCUGUCGUCGGCUCGUGUCGUGAGAUGUUGGGUUAAGUCCGUAACGAGCGCAACCCUUGUCCUUAGUUACCAGCACGUUAUGGUGGGCACUCUAAGGAGACUGCCGGUGACAAACCGGAGGAAGGUGGGGAUGACGUCAAGUCAUCAUGGCCCUUACGGCCUGGGCUACACACGUGCUACAAUGGUCGGUACAAAGGGUUGCCAAGCCGCGAGGUGGAGCUAAUCCCAUAAAACCGAUCGUAGUCCGGAUCGCAGUCUGCAACUCGACUGCGUGAAGUCGGAAUCGCUAGUAAUCGUGAAUCAGAAUGUCACGGUGAAUACGUUCCCGGGCCUU
rnacentral:rRNA from 1 species